AGACGGGGCCCGCACAAGCGGCGGAGCAUGCGGAUUAAUUCGAUGCAACGCGAAAACCUUACCUACCCUUGACAUGUCCGGAAUCCUGCAGAGAUGCGGGAGUGCCCGAAAGGGAAUCGGAACACAGGUGCUGCAUGGCUGUCGUCAGCUCGUGUCGUGAGAUGUUGGGUUAAGUCCCGCAACGAGCGCAACCCUUAUCAUUAGUUGCUACGCAAGGGCACUCUAAUGAGACUGCCGGUGACAAACCGGAGGAAGGUGGGGAUGACGUCAAGUCCUCAUGGCCCUUAUGGGUAGGGCUUCACACGUCAUACAAUGGUCGGUACAGAGGGUUGCCAAGCCGCGAGGUGGAGCCAAUCCCAGAAAGCCGAUCGUAGUCCGGAUUGUUCUCUGCAACUCGAGAGCAUGAAGUCGGAAUCGCUAGUAAUCGCGGAUCAGCAUGUCGCGGUGAAUACGUUCCCGGGUCUU
rnacentral:rRNA from 1 species